CCUACGGGGGGCAGCAGUGGGGAAUAUUGGGCAAUGGGCGCAAGCCUGACCCAGCAAUGCCGCGUGAAGGAAGAAGGCUUUCGGGUUGUAAACUUCUUUGACACGGGAAGAGCAGAAGACGGUACCCUGAAAACAAGCCACGGCUACCUAUGUGCCAGCAGCCGCGGUAAUACGUAGGUGGCAAGCGUUCUCCGGAUUUACUGGGUGUAAAGGGCGUGUAGCCGGGAAUGAAAGUCAGAUUGGAAAUCUGGAGGCUCAACCGCCAAAUUGCAUUUGAUACUGUUUUUCUGGAGUACUGGAGAGGCAGAAGGAAUUCCUGGUGUAGCGGUGAAAUGCGUAGAUAUAACGAGGAACACCAGUGGCGAAGGCGGUCUGCUGGACAGCAACUGACGGUGAGGCGCGAAAGCGUGGGGAGCAAACAGGAUUAGAUACCCCUGUAGUC
rnacentral:rRNA from 1 species